CCAGACUCCUACGGGAGGCAGCAGUGGGGAAUAUUGCACAAUGGGGGAAACCCUGAUGCAGCGACGCCGCGUGAGCGAUGAAGUAUUUCGGUAUGUAAAGCUCUAUCAGCAGGGAAGAAGAUGACGGUACCUGACUAAGAAGCCCCGGCUAACUACGUGCCAGCAGCCGCGGUAAUACGUAGGGGGCAAGCGUUAUCCGGAUUUACUGGGUGUAAAGGGAGCGUAGACGGCGAUGCAAGUCUGAAGUGAAAGGCGGGGGCCCAACCCCCGGACUGCUUUGGAAACUGUAUGGCUGGAGUGCAGGAGGGGCAGGCGGAAUUCCUGGUGUAGCGGUGAAAUGCGUAGAUAUCAGGAGGAACACCGGUGGCGAAGGCGGCCUGCUGGACUGCAACUGACGUUGAGGCCCGAAAGCGUGGGGAGCAAACAGGAUUAGAUACCCGCGUA
rnacentral:rRNA from 1 species